GACGAACGCUGGCGGCGUGCUUAACACAUGCAAGUCGAACGGAAAGGCCCCAGCUUGCUGGAGUACUCGAGUGGCGAACGGGUGAGUAACACGUGGGUAACCUGCCCUGCACUCUGGGAUAAGCCUGGGAAACUGGGGCUAAUACUGGAUAUGACCUUCCUCUUCAUGGGGUUUGGUGGAAAGUUUUGCGGUGUAGGAUGAGCCCGCGGCCUAUCAGCUUGUUGGUGGGGUGAUGGCCUACCAAGGCGACGACGGGUAGCCGGCCUGAGAGGGUGAUCGGCCACAUUGGGACUGAGAUACGGCCCAGACUCCUACGGGAGGCAGCAGUGGGGAAUAUUGCACAAUGGGCGGAAGCCUGAUGCAGCGACGCCGCGUGAGGGAUGACGGCCUUCGGGUUGUAAACCUCUUUCAGCAGGGACGAAGCGUAAGUGACGGUACUUGCAAAAGAAGCACCGGCUAACUACGUG
rnacentral:rRNA from 1 species